AGAGUUUGAUCCUGGCUCAGAACGAACGCUGGCGACAGGCUAACACAUGCAAGUCGAGCGCGCUUUCGGGUGAGCGGCGGACGGGUUAGUAACGCGUGGGAACGUGCCCUUCUCUACGGAAUAGCCUCUGGAAACGGAGAGUAAUACCGUAUACGCCCUUUGGGGGAAAGAUUUAUCGGAGAAGGAUCGGCCCGCGUUAGAUUAGGUAGUUGGUGGGGUAACGGCCUACCAAGCCUACGAUCUAUAGCUGGUUUUAGAGGAUGAUCAGCAACACUGGGACUGAGACACGGCCCAGACUCCUACGGGAGGCAGCAGUGGGGAAUCUUAGACAAUGGGGGCAACCCUGAUCUAGCCAUGCCGCGUGAGUGAUGAAGGCCUUAGGGUCGUAAAGCUCUUUCGCCUGUGAUGAUAAUGACAGUAGCAGGUAAAGAAACCCCGGCUAACUCCGUGCCAGCAGCCGCGGUAAUACGGAGGGGGUUAGCGUUGUUCGGAAUUACUGGGCGUAAAGCGCGCGUAGGCGGAUUAGAAAGUUGGGGGUGAAAUCCCGGGGCUCAACCUCGGAACUGCCUCCAAAACUGCUAGUCUAGAGUUCGAGAGAGGUGAGUGGAAUUCCGAGUGUAGAGGUGAAAUUCGUAGAUAUUCGGAGGAACACCAGUGGCGAAGGCGGCUCACUGGCUCGAUACUGACGCUGAGGUGCGAAAGUGUGGGGAGCAAACAGGAUUAGAUACCCUGGUAGUCCACACCGUAAACGAUGAAUGCCAGUCGUCGGGUAGUAUACUAUUCGGUGACACACCUAACGGAUUAAGCAUUCCGCCUGGGGAGUACGGUCGCAAGAUUAAAACUCAAAGGAAUUGACGG
rnacentral:rRNA from 1 species